rnacentral:lncRNA from 1 species
AGCUACUAGGGAGGCUGAGACAGGAAAAUCUCUUGAACCUGGGAGGCAGAGGUUGCAGUGAGCCAAGAUUGCGCCAUUGCACUCCAGCCUAGGUGACAGAGCAAGACUCUGUCUCAAAAAAAAAAAAAAAAAUGGAGAUGGGGGGUCUCACUCUGUUGCCCAGGCUGGUCUUGAACUCCUGGCUUUGACAGAUCCUCCCGCCUUGGCCUCCCCAAGGUGCUAGGAUUACAGGUGUGAACCACCAUGCUCUGCCAGACAUGAUUUUGAGGGUUCAGCCCUGUGCCAGCCUCACUGUGUGUGACCUUGGGCAGCUCUUGCCUUCUCUGGGCUUCUCUGAGGGUUCAAACCAGUUCUUGGAUGCUAUGGGCUCUGCCAUCAGAGCCUUUGUGUCCCGCUUACUGGCUUGCCCCCACACACACCUGCUCCUGUCUGUGACGCUGGGCCAGGGAUGGGGGCAGGGCGGAGGCAGGUUCUGCUGACUCAUGGGGCUUCUUGGCCCCUGCCAGGCCAAAGGCCUUUCCCACCUGCAGCCUUAGCCAGCGUCUCUGGGGUCUAGUGGCCCCAGUGAGGCUAUUCCUCCGGGUGCCUUGUAGCUUCCCCAUCCAGGCCUCAGACCCUCCUCCCAGCAGCCCUAGGGGAGGGCCACUCUCUUCCUGUUUUAAGAUGGGGAAUCUGGCUGGGUACAGCGGCCCACACUUAUAAUCCCAGCACCUUAGGAGGCUGAGGUGGGAGGAUGGCUUGAGGUCAGGAGUUUGAGACCAGC